UAAUACGGAGGGAGCAAGCGUUGUCCGGAAUCAUUGGGCGUAAAGGGCACGUAGGCGGUUAAGUAAGUCGAAUGUGAAAUCUCAUGGCUUAACUGUGAAACUGCGUUCGAAACUACUUAACUUGAGUACUGGAGAGGUAUGCGGAAUUCCUGGUGUAGCGGUGGAAUGCGUGGAUAUCAGGAGGAACACCGGUGGCGAAGGCGGCAUACUGGCCAAGUACUGACGCUGAGGUGCGAAAGCGUGGGGAGCAAACGGGAUUAGAUACCCCGGUAGUCCACGCUGUAAACGAUGGGUACUAGGUUUUGGAGGUCUCAACCCUUUCAGAGCCGCAGCUAACGCAUUAAGUACCCCGCCUGGGGAGUACGGUCGCAAGGCUG
rnacentral:rRNA from 1 species